GAGAGUGCAGGCGGUUUUCGUUAAGUCUGAUGUGAAAGACCUUCGGCUUAACCGGAGAAGUGCAUCGGAAACUGGAUAACUUGAGUGCAGAAGAGGGUAGGUGGAACUCCAUGUGUAGCGGUGGAAUGCGUAGAUAUAUGGAAGGAACACCAGUGGCGAAGGCGGCUACCUGGUCUGCAACUGACGCUGAGACUCGAAAGCAUGGGUAGCGAACAGGAUUAGAUACCCUGGUAG
rnacentral:rRNA from 1 species